AGUGAACGCUGGCGGCAGGCCUAAUACAUGCAAGUCGAACGGCAGCACAGCAGAGCUUGCUCUGUGGGUGGCGAGUGGCGGACGGGUGAGGAAUACGUGGGAAUCUGCCCAGUCGUGGGGGAUAACGUAGGGAAACUUACGCUAAUACCGCAUGCGCCCUUCGGGGAAGCCGGGGACCUUCGGCCUGGCGCGAUUGGAUGAGCCCACGUCGGAUUAGCUAGUUGGCGGGGUAAAGGCCCACCAAGGCGACGAUCCGUAGCUGGUCUGAGAGGACGAUCAGCCACACUGGAACUGAGACACGGUCCAGACUCCUACGGGAGGCAGCAGUAGGGAAUAUUGGACAAUGGGCGCAAGCCUGAUCCAGCCAUGCCGCGUGAGUGAAGAAGGCCCUCGGGUUGUAAAGCUCUUUUGUCCGGAAGAAAGCGCCGGGUUAAUACCCUGGUGUCCUGACGGUACCGGAAGAAUAAGCACCGGCUAACUUCGUGCCAGCAGCCGCGGUAAU
rnacentral:rRNA from 1 species